rnacentral:rRNA from 1 species
UACAGAGGGUGCUAGCGUUGUUCGGAAUUAUUGGGCGUAAAGGGCGCGUAGGCGGUUUCGCAUGUCCGAUGUGAAAGCCCACCUCUUAAAGGUGGAAUUGCAUCGGAAACUGCGAGACUAGAGUGCCGGAGAGGGUGGUGGAAUUCCUGGUGUAGAGGUGAAAUUCGUAGAUAUUGGGAGGAACACCAGUGGCGAAGGCGGCUACCUGGACCGGUUCUGACGCUGAGGCGCGAAAGCGUGGGUAGCAAACAGG